CCUACGGGGGGCUGCAGUGGGGAAUAUUGGACAAUGGGGGGAACCCUGAUCCAGCCAUGCCGCGUGUGUGAAGAAGUCCCUCGGGUUGUAAAGCACUUUCAGUGAGGAAGAACGCCUGGUGGUUAAUACCCAUCAGGAAAGACAUCACUCACAGAAGAAGCACCGGCUAACUCCGUGCCAGCAGCCGCGGUAAUACGGAGGGUGCGAGCGUUAAUCGGAAUUACUGGGCGUAAAGCGCGCGUAGGUGGCUUGAUAAGCCGGUUGUGAAAGCCCCGGGCUCAACCUGGGAACGGCAUCCGGAACUGUCAAGCUAGAGUGCAGGAGAGGAAGGUAAAAUUCCCGGUGUAGCGGUGAAAUGCGUAGAGAUCGGGAGGAAUACCAGUGGCGAAGGCGGCCUUCUGGACUGACACUGACACUGAGGUGCGAAAGCGUGGGUAGCAAACAGGAUUAGAUACCCGAGUAGUC
rnacentral:rRNA from 1 species